UAACACAUGCAAGUCGAGCGGUAGCACAGAGAAGCUUGCUUCUUGGGUGACGAGCGGCGGACGGGUGAGCUAACGCGUAGGAAUCUACCUAAUGGUGGGGGAUAGCCCAGGGAAACUUGGAUUAAUACCGCAUAAGUCCUAAGGGAGAAAGCGGGGGAUCUUCGGACCUCGUGCCAUUAGAUGAGCCUGCGUAAGAUUAGCUAGUUGGUGAGGUAAGAGCUCACCAAGGCGACGAUCUUUAGCUGGUCUGAGAGGAUGAUCAGCCACACUGGGACUGAGACACGGCCCAGACUCCUACGGGAGGCAGCAGUGGGGAAUAUUGGACAAUGGGGGCAACCCUGAUCCAGCCAUGCCGCGUGUGUGAAGAAGGCCUUCGGGUUGUAAAGCACUUUCAGAUGUGAGGAAAGGUUACAGAUUAAUACUCUGUAGCUGUGACGUUAACAUCAGAAGAAGGACCGGCUAACUCCGUGCCAGCAGCCGCGGUAAUACGGAGGGUCCGAGCGUUAAUCGGAAUUACUGGGCGUAAAGCGCGCGUA
rnacentral:rRNA from 1 species